GGAUGUGAGGGCCAUCUGACUGCGGCAUCUGUCACCCCAUCGAUUGCCAGGGUUGAUUUGUCUCAUCUGACUGGUUAGUCCUGUCCUCCCAAGGUUCCAUGUGUGUGCCUCCCUGAGCUGCUUGGUCUGACCAAGCAGAUGACCUUUCCCAAUAAAGGAGGACCCAGGACAUUUCUUCUAUCAGGUGUCUGCAAGUAGCUUUGCUCCCCUGCUAAAACCUCCAGAUAAGCUCUUGGGAUCCAUUUGUAAGAGAAUGUAAACUAGUCAAGCUUCCAAGAGCCCAGACACAUCCAAAUGAAGCUCUGCGUGUGGCGGUCUCUGCCUUUCUUU
ensembl:misc_RNA 7SK 7SK RNA